GUUGUGACCCUUUUUUUCCCCCAGCCAUGCCUCCAUCUUUGCCCUCCGCAAAUGACUGAGCUCACUGUCUACUUCACAGAAGAGAGCCCCUAAAGCAAGACCUUCCUUGCCCGUUGCUCCUCUCUCCCCUCUCAUUCAUCUGUGUCUGUAACUCUCCCCAUCCCCUCCGUUCUUGCUCCUAUUUAGUUCUGUCUGUCUUGAAUACUGUUGUAUGUCCUCCAAGACUGCUCCCUCGCUUAGUUCACUGCUCCCACUCCCUGGAGUCUCCAGCCUCUGUCUCCACUGGUUACCUCCACACAGCCUGCAAACAAGUUCUCCCCAAGAUUAAAACAGCAUUUCUCAGAGUCUGUUACCCCUUACACAUUUUCCUUGUUAGCCAAGUUACUUUAAAAAAGAAGCUUUUUAAACUGAUUCUUCCUCAGCUUUUCUUCAGCCCUCUACACUUUUUCAUAAAAGUCACCAGUGACUGCCCAGUUGCCAAAUAGAAUGAACACCUUUCAGUGCUCAGCUGUCUUGACCUCUCUGCAGCAUUUCACCCCACCCACCAACCCUCGGUGAAACAACCUCCUCCCUUAGCUUUUAUGACACCACAAGUCUCUGGAUUCUCAGAGAAUCCAAAAAAACAAGUCUCUGGAUUCUCUCCUCUUACCUCUCAGCCCACACAGGCUGAGCCAUCCUUGAAACCUAGACAGGGGGAAAUGUCUGUGGCUGUUUGUGGUCUCUUCUUUUCAGGAGUUGGGUAGGCAGGAAGAAUUACAGCUGCUCCUGCUUCCUCUGUCUGUCUAUUUCCUGUGUCCCUUCCUUUUCCUGAACUCAGUUCUCCUCAUGCCAAGCAUGUUUAUGAGCUCCUGCUGGGAGGACAGCAUCUGUGAGUCCUUCCCUCUGUCUCUCCCAGACGACACAGAUAUUUUAGCCAUGUUUGCUAAGAGACCCCAUCUAAGUCAGCCCGAGGGUGUGGAUUAGGUUUUAUAGCAUCCAGGCUGCAGUCUGGCUAAACUGGAUUACCAUACUGGUGGGCAGCUCCUCGCCAUGAUCCUGCACCAGUUAGAGCCUGCUGCAAUUGAGAAGGAGUCUGGGAUUGUGGUAAGACAUGUUUCCAUGCACGUCAGUGCUGCUAACCAGGGGGAGAACCUGGCAGGGUGGGUGUCUGCUGCUACCAUUGGGAUGGAGGGAGACUAGGGAGUGUGGUGGCUCCUCCUUUGCUGGGGCUCAGAUGGAGUCAGCAUGACUCCCUAUAUCAGGGCCUUUUCCACCUGUGCUGAUCACCACCAGCUGCUUGCUCCAGUUGUUUCUGGAGUUGGAGGCAGCUAUUGGUUGCUUUCUUGGAGGUAAGGAGGUACAUACUAGAAAGAUACCUGAUUUGAGAGUCUGAACACCAAAAUUUUUGGCUCUUUCUAUUAUGAACUGUAUGACCUUGGAUACAGUUUCCUCAUCUAUAAAGUUGUAGUGGAAGAAUGGCUGAGAACAGUGAUCUCUCAGCUCUCCAGCUGUAAAGAUGUUAAUUAUGACUUUGACUCUAAAGAUCAGGCCACAUAAGGAACAGGGGAAUUCCAGGGGUAGGACACAGCUGGGGGAGUCCAGACCAGGGCAGGGAAAGGGGACUCACAAGCCAAACAGAGCUGCUUUGAGGAAAGUUCUUAUCAGCUGGUGCUGCUUCCUGAGCCAUAUGCCCAUUCCUCAAGCUGUACCCCCUUUCUUGGCUAUUUAGGAUGAGUUCCUCCUAGACCCUUGUUAGGAGUGGCUAUUGGAUCCAAAGCGGUAGGGGCAUGAGGGAGGAUAUUUUAAAGGAAAGUAUCACUGAUCUUAAAAGGACCUAUACAUUCAAGAAAGAACAAAUAAAAAAUAGCACUUUUCUUUACCAA
ensembl:lncRNA